CAGCCGCCGCGGGAAUACGAAUGGUGCAAGCGUUAAUCGGAAUUACUGGGCGUAAAGCGUGCGUAGGCGGUUUGUUAAGUCUGCUGUGAAAUCCCCGGGCUCAACCUGGGAAUGGCAGUGGAUACUGGCUCGCUAGAGUGUGUCAGAGGAUGGUGGAAUUCCCGGUGUAGCGGUGAAAUGCGUAGAGAUCGGGAGGAACAUCAGUGGCGAAGGCGGCCAUCUGGGACAACACUGACGCUGAGGCACGAAAGCGUGGGGAGCAAACAGGAUUAGAUACCCGCGUAGUCCCUGUCUCUUAUCA
rnacentral:rRNA from 1 species